GUGCGCGAGUCAUUGGGACUCACGAACCUAAAGGCAAAAUGAAAGUAAAGGCCUGCGCUCGCGCGGGCCGAGGGAGGAUGGGCCGCGUCAAGAUGUGGCCCCGCACUCCCGGGGCGUCUCAUUCUCAUUACGAGAAGAGGCGCACCCAGAGCGCACAUGCUGGGACCCGAAAGAUGGUGAACUAUGCCUGGUCAGGACGAAGUCAGGGGAAACCCUGAUGGAGGUCCGUAGCGAUUCUGACGUGCAAAUCGAUCGUCGGAACUGGGUAUAGGGGCGAAAGACUAAUCGAACUAUCUAGUAGCUGGUUCCCUCCGAAGUUUCCCUCAGGAUAGCUGGCGCUCGCUUUGCGAGUCUCAUCCGGUAAAGCGAAUGAUUAGAGGCAUUGGGGUCGAAACGGCCUCAACCUAUUCUCAAACUUUAAAUGGGUGAGAUCUCCGGCUUGCUUGAACGUGAAGCCGCGAGAUUUCGGAUCAGAGUGCCAAGUGGGCCACUUUUGGUAAGCAGAACUGGCGCUGUGGGAUGAACCAAACGCCGAGUUAAAGCGCCUAAAUUGACGCUUAUGGGAUACCAUGAAAGGCGUUGGUAACUUAUGACAGUAGGUCGGUGGCCAUGGAAGUCGAA
rnacentral:rRNA from 1 species